rnacentral:rRNA from 1 species
GACGAACGCUGGCGGCGUGCUUAACACAUGCAAGUCGAACGAUGAAGCCGGAGCUUGCUCUGGUGAAUUAGUGGCGAACGGGUGAGUAACACGUGAGUAACCUGCCCUUGACUCUGGGAUAACUGCGGGAAACUGUAGCUAAUACCGGAUACGACCCUCGGAGGCAUCUCCUGGGGGUGGAAAGAAUUUCGGUCAAGGAUGGACUCGCGGCCUAUCAGCUAGUUGGUGAGGUAAAGGCUCACCAAGGCGACGAAGGGUGGCCGGCCUGAGAGGGUGACCGGCCAAACUGGGUCUGAGACACGGCCCAGACUCCUACGGGAGGCAGCAGUGGGGAAUAUUGCACAAUGGGCGCAAGCCUGAUGCAGCAACGCCGCGUGAGGGAUGACAGCCUUCGGGUUGUAAACCUCUUUUAGUAGGGAAGAAGCGAAAGUGACGGUACCUGCAGAAAAAGCACCGGCUAACUACGUGCCAGCAGCCGCCGUAA